ensembl:lncRNA
ACUUGGAAUUGGCCAAUUGAAGCACUGGCAGGAGAUUGGUGUCUAAAGGAAGAGAGAGGGUCAGGAGCCUCUUCCAGUGGGCCAUCUGCUUCCUGGUGGAACCUUGACAGAUCAGACACUUCCUCUUGUUGAUGACCUACUGUGUGCCAGAACCGCAUCUUGGAACCCUUCACGGAACAGCUGCUGGAAGAAUUUUUGAAAUGGCUUUUGCGAGAAAGUUCAAACCCUGGAAUGACUAAGUCUCUGGAAGAAUUUGGACUUUAUAAGAAAACAGAGGGAAGGUGUGGUCUCCCCAAGGUCACCCAGCUGGACACUGGCAGGAUUCAAACCCAAGCUGUCUGCCGCCAAAGCCCAUAGUCUCCAUUCUGCUGCACAUACCACUGAAGCAUCAAGGGGGGUCUCCUGGGG